AGUGCGACUGGCCCUUACAUGCUGGUAUAUGUCAGACUCUUAGCAUCACUCUCAUUUCAUACUGCUGUUGAUGAUGUGAAUUUUGGAAAUAUUCUCCCCUAUUGGGUCUUUCUCCAUGACAGAUGAUGUCCUUUGGCUUCGGUUUUUUGCCUAAGAACUGUAAGUGGUGCUUGCUAGCCCUACUAAGAAUCCUGCCAUUGUUGCAAAUUUCAGAAAAAAGGUAAUGCAUUUAAGGAACUUUUCCCUUUGUUACAAUUAUUUUCUUUCUAUAUUAAGUAGCUUAUAAUUAGGAUAAAGAGAUUACAGAAACAGGGAUGGAGAAGGACGGGUUGAGGGGAGGAGAGAGAGUGCUGGAGAGACAAUAUCAUCACUAGGAAAAGACAUGAGUAAAAAAAUAGCGCAAACAAGAAUUAUGCUCCUCAAAAAAGAGCUUUCUGGUCACCUUGCAAGGAUUCUAUAAAAGUUACAGGUUACAAUCGAAAUAAGUAAAAUAUUUAGUUAACAAGGAAAUGUGCAUCGUGCACAUAAUUACUGAAAGUUAUUACCAGUCACUGUGGUAGGAACUGGGGAUUAGAGAGAGAACGGAUCUGUAGUUCUAGCCUCAAGGAGUUACUGUUUAGCAUUAGAGGCAAAAUGAAAAAGUACUCAUUGUUUCUGCCCAUGUUUGCAAAAAGGGGACAAGUUAUUGGUCCCCAAAGUAAAUGAGAUAAUGAGAAAAAACUUCAGGGAAAAAACUGAGAAUACUAUAGCUGAUUAACUUACUGUUUAGUUCUCUUAAAAAUAUCUACCUUCUUAUCAUUAUAAUUCUGGAAUGAAAAUCAGGAGGACUGCCUAGUACUGCCAAUUCUGACAGUGAUCUGGCUGGAGUGCAGUGGUGCACACGCCUCACACUGUGACACAGCGGGAGAGCCCAGAGCGACAGCUGUUGGAAUGACUGCACUCUUCCUGCUCAAGUCUGACCUUUCCAAGCCUUUGUCCUAUGUCUGGAGACUUCUUGGAAGCUGGAGCACACAAAUAGCUACAGCAAACUUGAGGAAUGGGCAUGAAUAGACUGGCUUCGGGGAACCUGCCAGCUUGGCCGUGUGGCCAAGGUAAUAGGCAAGCCAAGGCAGAGCUAGAGCUCAGAGCUGGAGGGGAAAUUAAAGCAGCAAAUGUAGAAACAUUAAGCCUGAAGAGGCGACGACGUUGAAUUCUAAAAUGCAGGCCAAAGCUCAGACUGCAAGCUGUCUGGCUGCUCCGGGUGUGCCCAGAAGUCAAAGUCCAGCAGGGGCAAAGGUGGAGGUGUGGUCCUGCACGUGGGGUGUUGGGGGGAUGUGGAAGAGGAGGUGCUUUAAGAUCCAGAGAUUCCAGCUGCCCUGGUGCACCCUUGGAAGAAUAAAAGGCUAGGAACUGGACAAGUCAGGCUCGAGUCCAAGCUGCCUGAGGAAUCGGGGAAAGAAUGGAGCUCAGAGUGGGAGGUCAGGGCAGUAUUUAAAAAUCCAGGAUAGCAGCAAAGCUGGCGGUGGCCCCUGACUCUGGUAAGGGCAGCCUGCAGCACCAUGCCAAGGGGGGCCUGACUGAUCAUGCCCUGCAUUUGCAAACAAGGAUUAGUAGGGUAUGAGUAGGAUUCUGCUGGUGCCUGGGAAGGCAGUGCCAUCUACAACUUUACAAAGUUUUAACAAAGGCCUGAAGGACACAACCUUCCCCAAAGUCCUGACGUCGCUGUUUGCUGGCAACAAAUAGAGUCAAAAGAAGAGAGGCACAGAAUGUGCCAGGGGUGUGCUGCGUACAGCCCCGAUGACCACAAGGCCUUCUUGGGUCAAGUUCUGCCAUCUCUGGUUAAGAUGGGCUCACCCUCUAGGACCCUGAUUGAGUCCUCGGACCACCAAGAGUGCCCCACCAAGAGCCUCCCUCUUCUGGUGACUCGUGCCUGCUUCCCGUGGAGAGCUCCAGAAGGGAGGAAACUGUGAGGAGGUGGAGAACGUGGCAGGGAUCCUAACUUUCUUACUGAAGGAAGUUCUUCACAAGUACCCAUCUGCCUUCAGGGAAGAAAACAUAACUCAUUUUGGUCUUUCAAAUUCAGUUCUCAAAACCAAAUCCUGUUGUCAGCAAUCUGUGUCCCAACGCCUUCUUCAGCAACAGCAUUUUCCCUGUGGAAUUAGUUUCCAAUGUUCUUUCUUAAAUAAACCACUGAAGAUUAAAAGGAAUCCAGAUACCCACCACAUUUUGUUUCCUUAAUGAGUAAUUAUCACAUUUCUUUGGCUACUUAAAUGCAUUCUCUGAGUCAGGUAAAGGAGAUCGUAAUAGUUAAUCAACAAGAAGUAAUUCUUGGGUACUUAACAAUAGUCUAAGCACUUAAUCAUACUUAAAAUUGACUAUUAAUGAACCUUAUAAACCAUUUUGCAAUUCUGAAAGUGAAUUUCUCUGCAGGCUUAGAGAUUACUAAGCCAUUUAGAUCUUACCAAACAAAUAUUAUUCAUGCUUUAAUUCCUGGGAAAAGAAAUUUAGAAAAUGAGGUUAAUGUUCAGUUGUCCUUUCCUGAGUUUAACAAUUAUAUAUUCCAUCUGGGAUGCUCUGAACUCAGGUUAAACAUUCUUCAAGUUAUUCCCACAUUUUUCAAGUUAUUCCCACGUUAGUGACCUACUUUAUUAGUAUUAUUACUAAAGAAAAGGGCUGGGUGCGGUGGCCCACAUCUGUAAUCCCAGCACUUUGGGAGGCUGAAGCAGGAGGAUCACUUGAGCUUGGGAGUUCAAGACCAGCCUGAGAGGGAGACUCCGUCUCUACAAAAAAAAAAAAAUUAGCCAGGUAUGGUGGCACGCGCUCAUGGGCCCAGCUACUCAAGGAGGCUGAGGUGGGAGGAUCACGUGAACCUGGGAGGCAGAGCCUGCAGUGAGCCCUGGUUGUGCCUCUGUACUCAAGCCUGAGAGACAGAGUGAGACCCUGUCUCCAAACAAUAAAGUAAAAUAAAUAAAUAAAUAAAUAAGAAUGCAAAUCAAAGACAUUAAGAAAUAGCUUUACUUUAAUGUAGGCAUUUAAGGUAAAAUAGGUCACAUUCUCUUUUUUAAAAAAAUUACUGACCCACAGAAAAACAAGUCAAAAAGCAGACUAUUUCAUAUUAGUGUCUUUUUUUUAAAGAGGAUUAAUAUAAAUUGCCUUCUCACCUGUUUUUAAAAUAAAGGACUGAAUGAUAGAACUUAGACAACAAAUCUAGUAGCAUGAUAAAAGCCUUUCUUUGAUAGCUAGAAAAGGUAAACAAAGAAUAAAACAGGGUGAAGAAGAAAGAGGACAGAUAGAAUGUGAAUAUUAUCUACCUUUUUCUCAAGAUAAAACUAAUAUUGCUUUCUAAAAAGAAGCAAUUCUUUAGAGCAGAGGUCAGCAAACUUUUUCUAUAAAGAGCCAGAUAUUAACUAUUUUAUAAUUUGCAAACCACAUAAGUCCUCUGUUUCAUAUGGGUUUUUUUCUUUUUUCUUUUUAAACAAUACUUUAAAAAUGCUGAAAAUAUUCUUAGCUUACAUCUACAAAAAAGCAGGC
rnacentral:lncRNA from 1 species